CGUCUCUGCCAAGGUGUUUAGGAAAUGCCAGUGUCUAUAAUUACCCGAAUAACAUCUUUCUUUCUCUCUCUUUUCCUUCCAGCAAGAUGAUAUUUACGUUCUGGAAGAACAGCUGUGUGCUUGUACCUGCCAAGGAGAGAACAAAAAAAAAGAAAAUAUAGAGCCGACCCCGCUGCAAAGUGGAUCGAAGCCAUGAAAUGAGAGAUCAAUAGCACUCCUUUGGAGGAAAAUAGUGCCUUCAGGAUCUCUAGAGCACCAAGCUUCAGCAUCUGGAAUAAAUGCCCCUUUUGCCUUCUCCAGAAUCCUUUUGCUACCCAUUUUUUAAAAAGAUCUGGAAUCCUUUCCUAUUAUUUAGGUCCAUAUUCAGGUCCUGAACCGGUGCUUGGCGGCUGUGAUGAUCUGGAUGAGGGCGAACAAAUUGAAAUUGAAUCCAAACAAGUCAGAGGUACUCCUGGUCAGUCGAAAGGCCAAACAAGGUAUAAG